UGCCAGCCGCCGCGGUAAUACGGAGGGGGUUAGCGUUGUUCGGAAUUACUGGGCGUAAAGCGUACGUAGGCGGAUUAAUAAGUUAGAGGUGAAAUCCCAGGGACUCAACCCUGGAACUGCCUUUAAAACUGUUAGUCUUGAGAUCGAGAGAGGUGAGUGGAAUUCCAAGUGUAGAGGUGAAAUUCGUAGAUAUUUGGAGGAACACCAGUGGCGAAGGCGGCUCACUGGCUCGAUACUGACGCUGAGGUAAGAAAGGGUAGGGAGCAAACAGGACGAGAGC
rnacentral:rRNA from 1 species